AAUGCUAGUAGAGAAAAUACUUUCAGGGGUUUGGGCACUUAAGGUCACUUUGGGAGGUAAAUGCCUCUCUGCUGUGCUGAGGUAGCAGAGUAUUGACAAACUGGAGAAGACAGAUGGAAACAAGGAGAAGAAAAGGCCACUCCGAAUUGAGAAGCUCUUCUAUGCUCACAGGAGUGAUGUUCAUACCAGGUUUGGCAUCUCUGCUGUUUUCCAGCCAGGGAUGAACAUGUUGUACUAUUUUUAAUCACACUCUGGAUCCAUCCCUGGCUUGCUUCUAAAGAUAAACGAAACCACAUGCCAGUCCUUACAUA